UACGUAGGGAGCAAGCGUUGUCCGGAAUCAUUGGGCGUAAAGCGCGCGUAGGCGGCCCGAUAAGUCCGCUGUGAAAGUCAACGGCUCAACUGUUGGAUGCCGGUGGAUACUGUCGGGCUAGAGUACGGAAGAGGCAAGUGGAAUUCCUGGUGUAGCGGUGGAAUGCGCAGAUAUCAGGAGGAACACCUAUAGCGAAGGCAGCUGCUGGGACGUUACUGACGCUAAGGCGCGAAAGCGUGGGAGC
rnacentral:rRNA from 1 species